CUAUAGGCCUCCUUGCUCACCUAUGCUUUUUCAGUUCUGCCCACACAUGUUCUAUAGGAUUGAGGUCAGGGCUUUGUGAUAACCACUCCAAUACCUUGACUUUGUUGUCCUUAAGCCAUUUUUCCACAAGGUGGUGUAAGGCAGCAUUUACUUAUAAAUUGUUCAAUAAACAAUGAAUCUUUCAGAAUGUGUGGCCAGUGUUUGGCACUCGCUUUAAGCGGCAUGCAUUAGUUUGAAAAAAGUCACUGCAAAAGAUUCAAACAUUCUGCCCACACCUCUGCAGAAAUGUGAUACAACUUGUGAUUGAGCUUUCUUUCAGAAACUGUCAUGGCCCAGUUCCAACAUCUCCAAACUCUAAAAAUGAGGGGUUCAACAAGGGUUCUUCUAAGAUCCUCAAAGUUGAAGAACCUUAGGGUUCUUGGCACUGAAAAUUGCCCCCAAAGGUUUCUUCCAAGAACCCCAUAGGAGGUGGAGUUCAUCGAGGAACCUCUUUAAUUGGUGGGUUUUUUUCAGGAACCUAACUGCCCAACUGAAGCAUUUGGAUUUUAAUUUAAAGGACAGCAGGCGCAGGCACUUAACUGAAAAAUGUAAAGAUCUCCUCAGUUUAAGAAAAUGGACACAAUUGACUGGAUAUCAAUCAACAGCGAGGUAUACAGACGAGGAGGCAUACAAAGGUAUGUCAAUUGGUAUGUUAUGCAGAUCACGUGUGACAUCCUCCUCCCUUACCUCUUCAAUGAAAAUCACAUAGGCCUCUACAUUAUGGACAAGAUUCACAGGUUUCACCCUCCCUACACAUCUGAUGAAUAUAACAGGAAACCUGUUCGAUCACCCUGCACUGCAAAAUC
ensembl:lncRNA